UACGGGGGAGCAAGCGUUGUUCGGAUUUACUGGCGUAAAGGGCGCGUAGGCGGUCAGCACAAGUCAGUUGUGAAAUCUCCGGGCUUAACUCGGAAAGGUCAACUGAUACUGUGCGACUAGAGUGCAGAAGGGCAACUGGAAUUCUCGGUGUAGCGGUGAAAUGCGUAGAUAUCGAGAGGAACACCUGCGGCGAAGGCGGGUUGCUGGGCUGACACUGACGCUGAUGCGCGAAAGCCAGGGAGCGAACGGG
rnacentral:rRNA from 1 species